CUGGGAUGAACCGGGGAAUUGCAUUGGAAACUGGCGGGCUAGAGUACGGUAGAGGGUAGUGGAAUUCCUGGUGUAGCAGUGAAAUGCGUAGAGAUCAGGAGGAACAUCCGUGGCGAAGGCGACUACCUGGACCAGUACUGACACGGAGGCACGAAAGCGUGGGGAGCAAACAGG
rnacentral:rRNA from 1 species